AUUGAACGCUGGCGGCAUGCUUUACACAUGCAAGUCGAACGGUAACAGGCCGCAAGGUGCUGACGAGUGGCGAACGGGUGAGUAAUGCAUCGGAACGUGCCCAGUCGUGGGGGAUAACGCAGCGAAAGCUGCGCUAAUACCGCAUACGAUCUAUGGAUGAAAGCGGGGGACCGUAAGGCCCCGCGCGAUUGGAGCGGCCGAUGUCAGAUUAGGUAGUUGGUGGGGUAAAGGCUCACCAAGCCAACGAUCUGUAGCUGGUCUGAGAGGACGACCAGCCACACUGGGACUGAGACACGGCCCAGACUCCUACGGGAGGCAGCAGUGGGGAAUUUUGGACAAUGGGCGCAAGCCUGAUCCAGCAAUGCCGCGUGCAGGAAGAAGGCCUUCGGGUUGUAAACUGCUUUUGUACGGAACGAAACGGUCCUGGUUAAUACCUGGGGCUAAUGACGGUACCGUAAGAAUAAGCACCGGCUAACUACGUGCCAGCAGCCGCCGCAGUAA
rnacentral:rRNA from 1 species